CUCAGAUCGGUGAGCAGCACUUGCCCUAAUUCCAGUAUUCCAUCCACUCGAUUCCGAUACAAGUUCCUCGCCGCCACAUGCAAUCGUCGCUCUCCCGCUUCCAUGGUUUCCACGUGAGAGUCCACUCCUCGACCGCGCUUCGAGUUUGCGCUCCUCGCCCUUGAGGACUUUCUCUGUUGUCAUCGUCACUUCUUUAUCAAGGAUAUCAAGCAGCCAUAUAAUUGCAGCAUGUGGCAUUUGAGGUUAUAAGUCUAGAAGUUUUAAAUUUGUGAGAUUUAACUAGAAGACUUAAACUGAUUUGCUGGCUUCUUGAAAUGGCCAGACAUCCAAGUCCUGACAUAGAUGAUGAGCUUUUUAAUGAAAUCUACGGGAAGGCAUAUACUGGUCCAGCACAAUCAAAAGCUGAUAUUGCCACACAGAAAGAAGCAAACAAGAGGGUCCUUUCUGGUAGUCAUUCCGAUGAGGAAGAUAAGCCUCGAGAUCCUAAUGCCGUGCCAACUGAUUUUACAAGCAGAGAGGCAAAGGUUUGGGAGGCUAAAGCCAAGGCAACAGAAAGAAAUUGGAAGAAAAGAAAAGAAGAAGAGAUGAUAUGCAAGAUUUGUGGAGAGUCAGGCCAUUUUACUCAGGUAAGUUGUAUGGUUUAUGUAAGGUAUUGCUACAAGGGAACCAACUUGCACAUAAGUUUGUCAAAUUCUUAUAGGGCAUCACUGCCUAUCUUAUUAUACAGAAAAUUGCAAAGAACGCUGCUUAUCAUAGUACCCUGUGAUAAUGUUUUAUCUCUUUCGUAUACAUUAAACACGUAUAUAUUAUAUGCAUCUGUUUUUGUGAUAACUAGAAUAGUUCAAUGGAUGCUUAUGUUGACUGAUAAUAUUUAAUUAUAUUUUUUUUGAAGAGGUAAGCAAAAAAACUGGGAUGGGAGAUGAUUGAGUUGUGCUACCAUGAUCUCUCUCUCCUCUAUAGCACCUUGUGCAGAACCAAAGUUGGUUACAUAUGUGCCCUUAUUUUAAUUAUGAUGGUCUUUUUCCUCAACCUGAACAUGGUCCAUUCAUCUUUUUUCAUAAACAUAAUUCACUGACACUCACUUCUAAAGAGCUGGUAUGGCAUUUUGAAAUUGUGUUCUUUAAAAACAACACAAACUUAAUUUGAUUGUCUGCUCACUUAGUGUCAAUGGUCAUAGGUUUCAUCUCCCCCUUGGAUGCUUUCCCUUUGUAGCUGGCAAGUGAACUACUAAAAAUCAAUUUUUGAGGAGAGCACUGAAUUAGCAAUAGUGGAAGGAGAGUGGAGGAGACUUGGUUUUUGGUUUCCUUUAAGUUUCUUUUCUUUUAACAUUGUUCUUAUAAAUUUUUCUACAAUUUUGCCAACAUAUCUAACUUUAUUAUAGAAGCAUUGCAUUUAGUCGAGGAACCAUUCAAUGUACAAGAGCUGUUGUAUUUAAGGAAGCCAGAUAUCACAUAAUUUUUCAUAUCCUUUUAUGUUGUAAAAGAUCUAAUCCUCUCUACUUCCAUUCUUCCCUUUAGGGAUGCCCAUCUACACUUGGAGCAAGCCGUAAAUCUGCAGAGUUUUUUGAAAGGGUUCCUGCUAGGGACAAGAAUGUGAGAGUCCUUUUCUCUGAGAAGGUGAUACUUCAAAUUGAAAUGGAUGUUGGAUGCAAUAUUAAAAUGGACGAGAAGUUUUUAUUUGUUAGUGGGAAAGACCGAUUAAUUUUAGCAAAAGGUGUAGAAGCUGUUCAUAAAAUAAUUCAGGAUGGCAGGGAUAGACAGAAAAGCCCAAGUAGGUCCCACAGAAAUGAGUCCAGAUCACCUCACGGAAGUCCCAAGUCUACACAUCUAAGACCUUCUGAAUCUCAAAGGUCUCAUUCUAGCCCUAGAAGCACAUCACACUUCCCAAGUAGAAGCUUCAAUCAGGAAAGGCCUGCUGAAGAACAUGUACGUCAAGAUCCACAUAAAAUGUCUAGGAGUUCUCCAAGAGGUAGGACUUCAAACUGAUUUUUUGUCAGUUGCAGAAUUAUUGGUACUUGAAACAUAUUGUUUGGUGUAAUAGUUUUCUUUUUGGUCCAAUGAUCAUUUAAGAGAUUAUCUUAUCUGUUUUAUCAUGAAGUAAUUUGGUACUUGUCCUUUGCAGCAAGAGGUAAGUUCAAGCUUUAUGUGUUCGAUUAUGAAGUGAUUUUCUCCGUGCUUCUGGGUCAGACUGAUUUAUUGAGUGAAAAUAGCUUAUCCAAAUGAUGGAGGAAAAGAUCGCCAAGCACGUUCAAAGUCUCCUCUUCAUCCGGAUUUUACACGGGACACAUAUAGAUCUUAUGAUGGGCGCAAUCAUUUUACUGGUUUGCAUGAAGAUAACUGGGAUCUUGGGAGGCAGAGAACAGAUCCCCUUCCCGAGCACAAGUAUGAGUUCCGUAAUUACCCUCAAUCUUUGGAAGAGCUUGAGAAGGAAUUUAAGGAAGAAGUCAUAGAAUUGUCAAGGAUACAAGCUCAAGAAGAGGAUGAAGAGAACUACAAACACCGUGAGUGCAUAAGGCAGCUGAGAGAGGAUUUCAUGAAAAAGCUGACGGCUAUGAGGGCUGAGCACUUGAAACACUGGGAAGAAUUUCUUCAAAGGCGGCUACAAACCCAACAGGCUGUGUAUAGCCAACUAUCUUUGGCUGAGUAUGACCAAUCUUCGAGGAAUCUGCAGUAUGUUGGGUCUAGUUUACCCGUGGAUUCUGCGAGCAGAUAUCAGUAUCCUUCUGACAAUUAUUCAGCUCCAAGGCCACAUGAAGGGUAUGGUGAGUUUCAGCACCAAAGACAUGAAGAUUUUGGCAACACAUAUGGCCGUUAUUGAUCAGUAUUGGGUCUGGCGGUGACUUGAAUUUUGAUUUUUGAACCUUCCAGAGUUGCAAGAGAACUAGGUGAUAUUUCAUCUUGGUUUUUUUCUUCCAUGAUGCUUUAAGCCACAAUACUUAAAAGAAUGAUGCAAAAGCAAAUUGGCUACAGUUUGUGAGGUGUGGCUACAUUGCCUAAUCUCUGACUAGGAAAGGUAUCUUUUGACACCAGUGAAUGGGAAAUGGAUCCUUAAAUAAGAAAUUUUCAGGGAGCAUAUGUGGGACAUAAGGCUGAGAGAUGGUCUUUCCUCUUAAGCAGCUGGCUCUUUAUUAUAGUUAAGUCGAGGUUCGUGUUAAAUGAUUUGAAUGUUUUUGUGAUACUUAACCCAAUGCUUUAUUGUAUAUGUUUUGAUGUCUUUGCUUUGCAUUGGAUGGUUUGUCACAUUGAAAAGUGUUGAAGGUGUAUUUUGUUAGUAGGACCUUGUUUGCACAUGUAAGUUAUCUGACAACAUUAACUGCAUUUCUAGUUAAAUUUGUUUUACAAGCUGAAA